AACGAACGCUGGCGGCAUGCCUAACACAUGCAAGUCGAACGAGAACUUCGGGUCUAGUGGCGCACGGGUGCGUAACGCGUGGGCACAUGCCCUUAGGAUAGGAAUAACUCCCCGACAGGGGUGCUAAUAACGGCUAAUGACUUCGGACCAAGGAUUUAUCGCCUUUGGAUGGGCCCGCGUUGGAUUAGCUAGUUGGUAGGGUAAAAGCCUACCAAGGCGACGCUUCAUAGCUGGUCUGUGAGGAUGAUCAGCCACACUGGGACUGAGACACGGCCCAGACUCCUACGGGAGGCAGCAGUGGGGAAUAUUGGACAAGGGGCGAAAGCCUGAUCCAGCAAGGCCGCGUGAGUUAUGAAGGCCUUAGGGUUGUAAAGCUCUUUUACCCGGGAGGAUAAUGACAGUACCGGGAGAAUAAGCUCCGGCUAACUCCGUG
rnacentral:rRNA from 1 species